UACAGAGGGGGCAAGCGUUAUUCGGAAUUAUUGGGCGUAAAGGGACGGCGCGAGGACGGCAUCGCAAGUGGAAGGUGAAAUCCCUCGGCUUAACCGAGGAACUGCCCUCCAAACUGCGUUGCUUGAGGCCGGGAGAGGUGAGUGGAAUUCCCAGUGUAGCGGUGAAAUGCGUAGAUAUUGGGAGGAACACCAGUGGCGAAGGCGGCAUCCUGGACCGGUAUUGACACUGAAAAGCGAAAGCCAGGGGAGCAAACGGG
rnacentral:rRNA from 1 species